rnacentral:rRNA from 1 species
CCUACGGGGGGCAGCAGUAGGGAAUCUUCCGCAAUGGGCGAAAGCCUGACGGAGCAAUGCCGCGUGAGUGAUGAAGGUUUUCGGAUCGUAAAGCUCUGUUGCCAGGGAAGAACGCUUGGGAGAGUAACUGCUCUCAAGGUGACGGUACCUGAGAAGAAAGCCCCGGCUAACUACGUGCCAGCAGCCGCGGUAAUACGUAGGGGGCAAGCGUUGUCCGGAAUUAUUGGGCGUAAAGCGCGCGCAGGCGGUCAUUUAAGUCUGGUGUUUAAUCCCGGGGCUCAACCCCGGAUCGCACUGGAAACUGGGUGACUUGAGUGCAGAAGAGGAGAGUGGAAUUCCACGUGUAGCGGUGAAAUGCGUAGAUAUGUGGAGGAACACCAGUGGCGAAGGCGACUCUCUGGGCUGUAACUGACGCUGAGGCGCGAAAGCGUG